rnacentral:misc_RNA from 1 species
UUAGCGCUGGAUUAACUCAACUUCUGCCGAUCGAAUCCACUUGUCGGAACGAGAUAAUGUCUGGCUGUGCGAACGAAAAAUAACGAGUAGAGGGGAAAAUGAGCGAACUCCAAUUGUGCAAACUGUUUGUCCCUCGACAAGUUAAGGUCGAAUAAAGCAUCGAGAGAUUGGAAACGGGAGAUCGAGGGACGGACAAGCGGCUGCGACAACAACAACAGCAGCAGCAACGAUCGAAGAAAAAGAAGAAGCAUCGUCGUGAGGAGUGCCGAACUAAAUUACCCGGACGUGGCCGCGCAGAUAAGGCUCCCUGUGUACGCGCAUAAUGCGCUACGUAAUGUGCAGUCCACAAGCAACCACCCUCGGCCCCUCCCAACCCCUUCCUCCUUCACCAGCAUCG